GACGUAGGGGGCGAGCGUUGUCCGGAGUCACUGGGCGUAAAGGGCGCGCAGGCGGUCGCGUGGGCCAUCGCGUGAAAGCCCCCGGCUCAACCGGGCGGCGGCGGGUGGGACCGCGCGGCUGGAGGGUGGUAGGGGCCGGUGGAAUUCCCGGUGUAGUGGUGAAAUGCGUAGAUACCGGGAGGAACACCCGCAGCGAAGGCGGCCGGCUGGGCCAACCCUGACGCUGAGGCGCGAAGGCUCGGGGAGCGAACGGG
rnacentral:rRNA from 1 species